rnacentral:rRNA from 1 species
GAUGAACGCUGGCGGCGUGCCUAAUACAUGCAAGUCGAGCGAACGGACGAGAAGCUUGCUUUUCUGAUGUUAGCGGCGGACGGGUGAGUAACACGUGGAUAACCUACCUAUAAGACUGGGAUAACUUCGGGAAACCGGAGCUAAUACCGGAUAAUAUUUUGAACCGCAUGGUUCAAAAGUGAAAGACGGUCUUGCUGUCACUUAUAGAUGGAUCCGCGCUGCAUUAGCUAGUUGGUAAGGUAACGGCUUACCAAGGCAACAAUGCAUAGCCGACCUGUGAGGGUGAUCGGCCACACUGGGACUGAGACACGGUCCAGACUCCUACGGGAGGCAGAAGUAGGGAAUCUUCCGCAAUGGGCGAAAGCCUGACGGAGCAACGCCGCGUGAGUGAUGAAGGUCUUCGGAUCGUAAAACUCUGUUAUUAGGGAAGAACAUAUGUGUAAGUAACUGUGCACAUCUUGACGGUACCUAAUCAGAAAGCAACGGCUAACUACGUG